UUAAACAUUUGAUGAGAUCUUUGAGGUGACAGUCACCUACUUUAGUUUACAAGCUUGUUUCCAUUUUUCCUUUUUCUUUUAUUUUUUAUUUUUGAUCCCUAUUUUUGCAUGAACCGAUUUUUUUGAAUUUGUGGUCCAUCGGGAUGCCCAAACUUUUGCUUAAGUCAACUUUUUUCAGGUUUUUUUGACUUCUUUUUCGACUUAGCAGGCUCUAUUUUU
rnacentral:lncRNA from 1 species